GGGAAAUUGUCAGAAAUAUCUGAUAUUAAUAAGCCUGCUUUUAUACACGUUGGAUUUGAAUUAGAGUAGAUGUUAUCAAUGAUUGUAGCUGAGAUAUGACAUACCUUCAUAGGUCUAAUGAUUAGCGGUUGGAACGAGUUGGAGAGAAUACUGUCCAUGUGAUACUGAAUAUCACUACUCAUUGCAUAAUGAAGGAGAUAUAUAUUAGAGUCACCUGUAAGUACAUGGAUAAUACAUGCUUCAGCGUUCUUGCGGCCAUUUUCACUUACUCCAGACGCACCACCUGUGUAGAGAUUGCAAAAGUGGAAACGGACUCAGACGGACGAAUUUUGAAAACGCUUGUUUCGGAAAGG